rnacentral:rRNA from 1 species
ACUCCUACGGGAGGCAGCAGUGGGGAAUAUUGCACAAUGGGGAAACCCUGAUGCAGCCAUGCCGCGUGUGUGAAGAAGGCCUUCGGUUGUAAAGCACUUUCAGUAGGGAGGAAGGUAGUGUAGUUAACACCUGCACUAUUUGACGUUACCUACAGAAGAAGCACCGGCUAACUCCGUGCCAGCAGCCGCGGUAAUACGGAGGGGUGCGAGCGUUAAUCGGAAUUACUGGGCGUAAAGCGCAUGCAGGCGGCCUGUUAAGUCAGAUGUGAAAGCCCGGGGGCUUAACCUCGGAAUUGCAUUUGAAACUGGCAGGCUAGAGUCUUGUAGAGGGGGUAGGAAUUUCAGGUGUAGCGGUGAAAUGCGUAGAGAUCUGAAGGAAUACCAGUGGCGAAGGCGGCCCCCUGGACCAAAGACUG